rnacentral:rRNA from 1 species
GAUGAACGCUGGCGGCGUGCCUAAUACAUGCAAGUCGAGCGAACAGACGAGGAGCUUGCUCCUCUGACGUUAGCGGCGGACGGGUGAGUAACACGUGGAUAACCUACCUAUAAGACUGGGAUAACUUCGGGAAACCGGAGCUAAUACCGGAUAAUAUAUUGAACCGCAUGGUUCAAUAGUGAAAGACGGUUUUGCUGUCACUUAUAGAUGGAUCCGCGCCGCAUUAGCUAGUUGGUAAGGUAACGGCUUACCAAGGCGACGAUGCGUAGCCGACCUGAGAGGGUGAUCGGCCACACUGGAACUGAGACACGGUCCAGACUCCUACGGGAGGCAGCAGUAGGGAAUCUUCCGCAAUGGGCGAAAGCGUGACGGAGCAACGCCGCGUGAGUGAUGAAGGUCUUCGGAUCGUAAAACUCUGUUAUUAGGGAAGAACAAAUGUGUAAGUAACUAUGCACGUCUUGACGGUACCUAAUCAGAAAGCCACGGCUAACUACGUG